rnacentral:tRNA from 1 species
UGCAUCGGCCGGGAAUCGAACCCGGGCCGCCCGUGUCGCGUGGCAGGCGAGCAUUGUACCACUGAACCACCGAUGU